AUCUUGGCCAGUCUGGUCUCGAUGUCCUGAUCUCAGGUGAUAUGGCCAGCUCAGGCUCCCAAUGGGUGGGGGAUUAAAAACAUUAGCCACCAAAGUGGGGCUGCUUAUUUAUUGAUUUAUUUAGAGACAGACUUGCAUUUAUUUAUUUACUUAUUUAUUUGCUGAUGUACUUUUGGAGAAGCAGGUCGAAUUCACUUUAUUUAUUUGGAGGCAGACUUCUAUUUAUGUAUUUAUCUAGCUAUCUAAUUAUUUAGAGGCAGGCUCACAUUUACUCAUUUGUUUUAUUGAGACCCAGGCUCAUGACAUUUUUUUAAUACUUAUGUAUAUGUGUGCAGGCUUGCAUUUAUCAGUUUUCUUAACUGUCUGUAUAAUGAUUUAGAGGCAGUCUUGCAUUUAUUUAUUUAUUUAUUUGCUUAUUUAUUUUAGAGGGAGUCUUGCUCUGUCACCAGGCUGGAGUGCACUGGCCCAUUUUUGGCUUCCUGCAACCUCCGCUUCCUGGAUUCAAGCAAUUCUUCCUCCUAUGCCUCUGGAGGAUCUGGGACCACAGUCCCCUUGUAGGUCACCCAUGGGGAAUUGCCUAGGCCCCAGGGCUGGCCUCAUUUGUGCCUGGUGCCAGGAGGCAGUGGCGUCAUGUUGUGAGACUCAGUCUGUGGCAGCUGCAAACACCAGCAUCCACUACUGCAGAGCCUGCCAUGUUACAUCCAGGAGUGGUGGAGGUCCAGGACGUGCAGACCAUCAAGUCAAAGCAGCACAAAGGUUUGGCUGGUCGUGUCAGGAGCUGGGUACAAAAAAAACGGAGGCGUAAGAAAAUUUGCCCCAAUGAAAAUGAAGCUCCUGGUCAAGAUGCAAAGGAGUGUACAACUGAAAAGCUUCAGGAGGAGACGUCACCUGACAUAGAAAAUGCUACAGGUGAAUAUCACCACACUCCUGCUGAUGACUCAGAAGAGUGUACACUUGGCAAUGAGGAGGAGGUGGUGGCCUCUGACACGGAGAAGCCUGCGGCCCAGCAUGACCGCCGUCCUGUUGAGGUCCUACAGGGCCUCAUUUUAGAAGGCAUUGAAGAAGAUGAGAUGCCCCACGACCUGGAGAAGCCUGCGGCCCAGCAUGACCGCCGUUUUGUUGAGGUCAUACAGGACCUUAUCUUAGAAGACGUUGAAGAUGUUGAGAUGCCCCUUGAUGUGGACACAGUGACGGCCUCAGUUGUCUGCCGUAAGUAUUCUUUUUUUAAACUGCUUUAUUUUCACACAGUUGACAUUCAAAACAAUUCACUUAUUUAAAGUGGGUGAUGUAGUGUUCUUAGUAUAUUUACCAAGUUUUGCAGCCAUUGUCACCAUUUAAGUGUAGAAUCUUUUCAUUCCUUCUCAGAGAAACCCUAUAGCCAUUAGUCACUUCUCUUUUUUCCUAUGGCCCACACCUCUGGCCCUAGGCAGCUGCUAAGCUACUUUCUGUUUUUCUAGAUUUGCCUUCUCUGGCAAUUUCUCUUUUAAUUUAAAUUUGAUUUUAAUUUUUGGGAUACAUGUGCAGGAUGUGCAGGUUAGUUACAUAGCUAAAAGUGUGGCAUGGUGUGCUGCACCUGUUAACCCUUCACCUAGGUAUUAAGCCCCACAUACAUUAGCUCUUUAAUCUGAUGCUCUCCUGUCCACUUCCUCCACAGUGUGUGUUGUUCCCCUCUCUAACGUUGUACACAUUCUAAUAUCACUUUCUUUCUAAUGGCAAAUCUAAGUGAUAAGUCAGGGGGGAUUUUCUUGCUUGCUUUUGUCUGGAGAACCUCAUUAGCCCCAGGUUCCUGAUAGGUCGGUGGAUCUGGGACGUGCUGUGAGAAACAUGUCUCCAUGAAGAGCUCAGCUGUGAGACAGGAGAAUCUCCAUCAUGCACUAUGGAUGCUACUGUUGAAAUAGGUAUUUGUUAUUUUCUGAAAACCUUCACACACACAGAGCCAAGGUAGGUGCUUUAAGUCAUGAUGAAUGUCAAGUGGACCACAUGAUGGUUUGAGGGUUUUUUUUGGAGCAUUCAUUUUUUGGAGAUGCAUUGCUUUUCAGUAAAAUUUGAUUGUCCUGUAUGUGUCAGUAUUUUCCCAAUGGAACAAAAAAAUGAAACUGAUUGUGCAACAUCGCUUGUUCACCCCAGAAGUGAUUUUCUCAUGACCAGAUUGUCUUAGACAUAUUUAAUCUCUAUACGAAGCUUCCCAUUGGUGCUGCAGGGGCGCUGCUGUGUGUGAGUCAAGGAAAAUAUCAGUGUUACCAACAAUGAGGUUCUCAGAAUUCUUGGACACCUGCUUAGUGGGCUCCAUGGGAGAGAGCAAGGGAGAGCCUCGUGCUAGACCUGAAGGGGAACAUGAUUUAGAGGAUCAGAGGGGAAACAAUGAGGACAUUUGGGACAUUGUUAAAAGAGAAUGUCAAGGUUGCAAUGUUAGGGGCAUCAGUUCAGCGUUAUCACCAGGGCCCAGGCAAGGAUAUGAGACCCCUUCUGGGGAGGAGUGAGUAGGACAUGGCCUUCCUCUUUGUGAAAAGCUUGGUGUGAACAUCACCCUAAAUACCUUGAGAAAGGAGCUUCCUUCCUGACCCAUGUCUUCUCCAUCUCUUUGUGCAAUGAUGGCAAUGAUACCAGCAGAGUGUCAUUGCGGAGAGGGGCAGAACAGGAAUCAGGUCCUCUUAUUCACAGAUUGCUAAAAGUUGUGCGGGAAACUCCAUAGGAUAAAAUGUGCUGAUCCCACAUAAUUUUGUCCAUGCCGUGCUAUGGAUGACAUUUUUAUCUUUGGAGGAUCCUCAUUUUACAUAAUAAGAUGUAAAACUUAGUGGGCAUCCUCUAUCCAGUCUGGGGCCCUUCAUUAAAGAACUGAGUUUGCUGCUGUCUGUCAUUUGCUUUUCUUCAUGAGACCUUUGAACCACCUAAAUAUUGCCAGCACCCUCUUUUGGGACCCUGACAUCUUAGAGGGUGAGAUGGCACAAGUGCAGACAUCCCUGGUUCCUCCCUGAAGUUUCCCUCCUCCUUUAAUCACCUUCUUCCUUAAGGGACCUGCUCUGACUGCUGAUGACUUGUUUAGACCUCUUCAGGUUUGGACUGUCGUACAUAGAAUAAGUCAAUAUGUGAUUCUCGAUGUCUGGCUUUUUCGCUCACAUUAUGAUUUUUUAUUCAUUCAUGUUUGUAAGUGUAACUGGUUUUGGAAUAAUACUGUCACUCAUUUCUGUGAAGUAGACUGUUAGAAGGGAACAAAUGUUUUAUUGUCAUGAAUAGUGCCAAAUACUUUUCAAAAUGGUGAUGCUAAUUCAUGUUCCUAUAGCAGCAUAUGUGAGGAGACAUUUCUCCAAAUCCUUGUGUACUUUUAGUUUUAUCUCUCCCUAAAAAUUCCAUCACUGUGGUUAGUCUUUCAAUUGUAUAGCAUCUUAAAAUUUUUAACCAAAAAUUUUGUUUUAAUCUAAUAAUGCAGGCCAGUAGGUUUGUGUAUGCCCGUCUGACCCCAGCCAUGUAAGUAAUCAUUGAUCAAAAUGUCACAUGACUGUACUUGAUAACAGCUGCUUAAGUUAUUAAAAUGUAAAGGAUAACUGAUAUACAUUUGAGUCAGGGAUACUAUGUGGUCACUUCUCUAUGUUGCCUCUUUGAAGCAUCACAAUCACUUUGAGGCAUAGUUUGGUUCUGUUCAUCAUACAGAUGAGGAAUGUGAGUCAGUUAAGUAAAUUAUCACAAGACAUGCCCACAGCUGGAUCUCUCUAACACCAAAGCCUAAUCUAUAAACUAAUAUGCUGCACUGCCUGUAGUGGCGAAGUAGACUUGCCCUAAAGUGAAGUUUCCUUCCACAGCUGGGCGUGUGAGCUUAGCGGGGUUGCUGUGACCCAUUGCUUUAUGGGUUUGAGAUUGGUGUUGCAGAAACCCAGAUGGAGAAGCUUUUGGCUGAGGGAGUGAAAAAUGACUGAAAGGAUAGAUGAGUGCGUUUGAAGGAUCAUGCUUCCAUAGAGCAUGUUGUUGAGCCUCUUGGAAUAAAAACAGAUACAAUCAAACAGAAUCACCCAGUCCUCAGUUGUACCAUUCGGUAAGCAUCAGCACGCCAUGAAGUGUGCUCACUGCUGUGUUGUGGGGACAUAAAAUCUAUCCCAGGCUUCUGUGGCCACCCAUUCUGUUCUGUCCAGUGAACCUCUUUUCUGUUCCGUUGGUCUACAUCUCUGUUUUGGUACCAGUACCAUGCUGUUUUGAUUACUGGAGCAGCUGACUAAGUUUGUGAUCAGGUUUUCAGUUGAGAGAAACAGAACCUUUUGCAAACAAUCCACAGCACGACAUACCCCUCAUAAAGCUUUGUUUCUGUGUUGCAGGUAGUGCCGGUGUUCCAUCUGAAGGUGUGACUCUGGUAAGUAUUCUGGAAUUAUUGUCAAGAAAAAAAGCUGGUUUCAAUGUGCAGUGCCACCCUGAUUCUGGGAUUGUGAUAGGAAUAAGCAUAGUGAACGUGUUUCUUAGAAACCUGAGUUCCCCGGGGAAAAAUCAUGGCCAAAUUUUGAGGCAGCAGCUGUGCUCCCUUUUGGCUGGUACUGAGUUGGGUACUUGAGGAUUGGUGGUGUCUUGUGUGAGGCUGCAUCAUGUGAUGUGAAUGUGUGUGCUUCUGUGCAGGUGAGGCCGUGUGUUUUCUCAGGAGAGAUUUCCCAUUUACCCAGCCCAUUCUCCAGUCUCCACUUUUAAAGAAUAAAAUCCAGCCCCACUCUACUCUGUCUGUACAAUGACUCCUCCACUCUCACCAGAGCCAUCCCUGGGUCUGGUUUAUUAUCCUCACAGCUCAGGUGGAGAACCUGAAGGGCCAGGGGGUGGCCCCAGCUCCUGAGUUCCUGAAUGAAAAAGUGAAAACACAAAUCCAGGAGUAUGGGCCAGUGCUGACACUGGCAACUACUGGCAUGCUUUCAGUCAUGGGGUGUUCGCCACCAUGCAGGGAGUACAGCAUUCGUGUAUAAGCCCUAAGGAAGUCCCAGACACUGCCCGUCGUUAUAAAGUGGCCUCCAUGGUCACACAACCCAGGGCAGUUACAGGUACAUCUCCCCACAGACCAGCAUAAUCAUCAGUGUGAAAAGCACAAAGAUCCCCAGGUGUUUGGGUCGGCUCACAGAUCCUUUUUUGCUUCGUUUUUAAGUUCAGGGGAACCUGUGCAGGAUGAGCAGGUUUGGUACAUACAUAAGCGUGUGUCAUGAGGGUGUGUUGUACAGGUUAUUUUAUCAUCCACAUGUUAAGCCUAAUAUCAGUUAUUUUCCUGACCUUUUCCCUCCUCCCACCGUUCACCCUCCAGCAGGCCCCAAGCUUACAAAUUCUAAGAGGAAUGGGGGACCACACUGGCCAAUGCAGCCCACUUCAGUUGUGAAGUUAAUUUGCUCAACAAUUGGCCAAAGCAUAUAAGGAUCGGUGAUGUCUUUUAGUAGAUUUAGUAAUAUCUUCCCAAGCCCUAAAAUGCUCAAACCCUGCCAGCUGAAAAUGAUGAGGAGAGGGACAGGUACGAACUCUGUGCAGCACUUGGUUGGUAGCCUGGUUUCCAUCCCCUUGUGGCAACUCUCUUGUGCAUGCAUGUUAAAGACCCUCAGCCUCAACCCAAGCCUCCUCCAUGAGGAGCCCUCUCACUAUUGGCUGGCUACUGAAGCAUAUGGACACCAGCCAAAGUGAAACAAAACGUUGCUUUAAAACAAGUUAUGUAUUCAUAAUGUCCAAUCAUUGUUUUGUAAUCUCUGCUCUCUCUGUGGUUAUGUCUUCCUAUUAAUUUCUGAUAUUAAUUUUGUGAUUUUCCUUUUUUCUUGAUAAAUCUCACUAAUGACUUAUGUACUAGAUUUUUCUUGAAAACAACUGUUGGCUCUGAU
ensembl:lncRNA